GUCACCAUAGACUUUCUAGUCCUCAUCUCACUAGCCCAUCCUGUGGGUCCCAGAUUUGCCUUCUUUUCUGAAUCAAAGAAUCCAUGUUCAUUGUUCUCUACAUUUCCUGAAUGCUGGAGCAGAGUUCAGAAAAGGAUAAUGAAUACCUGCUCUUGUUAGAUUAAGAAGAAUGAAAGAAGUGCUAUCACUUGGCUGUAGAUCUUGCAACAAGCUAGGAGACUCUGGAGUCGACAAAAACUCUGGGGACUUCUGUACAGUCUGAGCCCUCGUCUCCUCUCCAUCUGGGCCCACAUUCACCUGAAGGCUUCUCAAAACAGCUGAGGAAGGGACCUCUUUGGAGGAGUUUGUAUGACUUGGAGUAUCAUCUGGCAAAGGGAAAAUAUCACAGAUUUAUGGAACACUUAUCUACAGAGAGCUCACCAUUCUGAUACACAGUACCAAAUACCCCUACAACAUCCCUUAUAGGAGCAGCAGCAUUUUUAUUUUACAAAUACAAAAUUUCCCUCAGAAGAGGACAGAGAGAUAACUAAGUUGUAAAGGGAAUCAGUCAAAAUGUGGGGAACAGACUCAUCUGACACUUGGCAGUAAUGACCAACCAACCAUCCACAUUUGGGGAUUACAGACCUUUGUCUUUCCAAGGCCAGAAUCAGUACUUUUCCUUUGAAAAAUCUAGUUAUACAAUGAAUAACUUAUGCAAGAAUAGGAUCUAAAUUUUAAAUUAUUUUUCUUGGAAAGAGAUUCCUCCCUUUAGUUUUUAUACUAUGUAUGUGACAGUUCUGUUGAGUCAUUGGGGGAAAAAAACAUAGCCUGAAAUAUCAUUGAAAUUUUACAGAAUCAUAAAUGUUUCAUUAUACUCCUGGGCUUACACUGAAACAUAAAGAAGUAACUCAGAAAACUUGCUCUCUAGAACUUUAUUCUAAGGGAUGGGAUGAAUUUCCAAAGGUUUUGGUUGCAAUAAAAUGAGAAACUGCACUACAGUGCUAAAGCAUAUAGUGUUUUCAGGGAUUUCAGUCAUCUUUAUAAAAGACAGGUAAUUUUUUUUCCUUGAAGGAAGAUAACCAAUAAGAUUACAGGAAUGAAAAUGGAAGCCUAGGGAUAGUACUGCCGUUUCAAAGUCUAAUGAAAUAGCACAAUAUGA